CAGCCGCCACGGUAAUACAGAGGAUGCGAGCGUUAAUCGGAUUUACUGGGCGUAAAGCGUGCGUAGGCGGCUUCUUAAGUCGGGGGUGAAAUCCCGCAGCUCAACUGCGGAACUGCCUUUGAUACUGGGUAUCUUGAGUAUGGAAGAGGUUAGUGGAAUUGCGAGUGUAGAGGUGAAAUUCGUAGAUAUUCGCAGGAACACCAGUGGCGAAGGCGGCUAACUGGUCCAUAACUGACGCUGAGGUGCGAAAGCGUGGGGAGCAAACAGGAUUAGAUACCCCUGUAGUCCCUGUCUCUUAUAC
rnacentral:rRNA from 1 species